rnacentral:lncRNA from 1 species
GAGCUCUCACAGGGCUCUUAGGAAAAGAGGAGGAGACAGAAGAUCUCUCUGCAUGCAUACACCAAGGAAGGCCAUGAGAUUUUGUAACCAGGAAGACAGCUUUCACCAAAACCUUGACCAUGAAGAAUAUGAAGUCAAGGAAGACCAUCCACAGAAAAGAUGCUUGCCAAACUCCCAGGUUCCUGGCAGAAUGAAUAAUGUGAAUAAAAUGCAUGUUUAGUCCAACAGUCCUUCUUAAGUGGUAUAUAAAUAAAUAGUAUACAAUAAUAGAUUUUGUAUGGUGCAAUUGUUUUUAUUCAGAAAUGUAGAUACAUAGAAAUACAGUAUCUUAAAAACAUAGGAAGUUCCAGGGCUGCCCACUUACUGCUUCCUGUAUCAGGCGGCAUGAGAGUUACUGAGGAUACAAAGAUGAGUGAGACACUGCCCUGUAAAGCCAUAAUUGAGUUCACCUUUAUGAAUCUGUGUCUUAAUUCUGACACAUCAUUUGAAAGUCAUUUUUGGGGUAAAGGGGAAGGAAUCAGGAGAAGAUUAGAAAAAUCUCCAAUGACAUCUUAAUUAUAAAGGUAGGGGAAGCUUUGUUUUGGAGGGCACUUUAUGUAGAACUAAAGUAUUUUACAUAAUCCUAG